GCAAGCAAGCAAGCGCUAUUGGCAAAGUGUUCCGCCAGUAGGUUUUCGCAAAGCCUGCGACCAUAAAUCGAGGCAAGAGCACGUUUUUAUCGACAACAGCAGUACACAAAUGCGGAUAACAUACAUUCUUAAAGGGUCUUGUUUAUUUUUCAUAGCGGAACCACAAACGCAGGGAUUGCCACGCGUAUACCGCUGCCACCUAUCUGGGGCCGCGCUCUUUUUCCCUUGGCAAUAUGGCCAGCGUCGGCUUCAGAUGCUCCCAUAAGCGGCGGCUGGGACUGCCACUCCAUAAUAACGUAACCUCCUUGGCCACGACGCGAAAAGCCGCGUUCAGACGGCAGAGAGGGCACCGGGGGAGAUUGCCUCAUCCUGCGCAUGGGUUGUGUCGCCUGGCAACCGUAUAUCAACCUGCGCCUUCCAAGAUAGGUAGGGUGCACCCAAUAAAUGGUGCGGAAGGCUGUGCUGCUGCACCACUACGGGCAUGUGUGAUUAACAGUUGUAUUACACUUAUGUGUUUUGUUUAAACUACAUCGCACUUCCUUUAUAAAAUAGAUUAUUAAAGCGUUCGGUUUCACUAUUGCACUCCUUUUUCAUUUCAACACUGUUAUGCAUUUACCGAAAGCGUAGCUGAUCUGGAUUAGCACAGGGCACGUUGCAUCUGCUGCAUUUUUUUUCUCGAAGUCACCCUUUCAAAAAUUGGCUUGUUGUUACAUCAGUGCUUUCUCAGUAGCUCAUGUCUCAUCAGUAAUAAAGUACGAAAUGAGGCACCAGAGCAAGUAAACGUGGCAAAAGCGCAACUACUUGUGGAGACUAGGAAUCGCCAUGACAAUUUGGACGAUAGAAAGCACGCCCAACGACAGGAAAAUGAAAGCUCGGUGCAAUGCAUAAGUAAAUAUAUAUUGAAGUAAAGUACGUUAGCAGGAUAGUGGGUGAUCCCGCAUACAACUUCUUGCCGUAGACGCAAAACAGUGACGAUGAUGAAUGUGAACGAGAACAAGCGCUUAUCCGUCUUCACGUUAUUACUGUCUCUAUUUUGCUUCGGCGCUCUGAAACUGCAAUAUGUAUUCUGCCAAGAAUAUUAUUCAUGCGUAUGCACGGUGAGAAUGAAAAUGUGUCUAAGGUGAGCUUCGGCAACCCUGUUCGAGUGUGUCAUGGGUGCUCUUGUUUGGUAUUUAGCCGAAGAUGUCUUUUUUUUUAUAGAAAUGCGUCACACGGGUGAAGAGGGAUAAUGAUGAGAUUCAAUAGCAAAACCAAAUAAGGGUUUGAAGAGACGCCAUACAGCAAGGACGUUGAUUUGUUUUUACACAAAGGAGUCGGUAGAUGAGUACUCAAUGCUCGGUGUAUGAGUGUUUGGGAGUCUUAUCCCAUCGAUACCAUCGGAAUGUGGCGGCCACAGUAGAAAAUAUUAUUCAUGACCGGAUGAUGACAUGGGGCAUGCUGAAGCAACCAAGUCAAUCAGGUUGCCUUUAGCCUCAGUUUGCAAUGAUUAGUUAAUACUUAUCGCCAAAUUUACACAAAACGCGAGAUGAAGGUAACUUACGUCCACAACCAAGUGUCCUCAAUAACAAACAUCCUCGUUGAGUCGUAAGUAGUGUGAUAGGCAAAUUUGCUUCGAAAACGUGUUGUCACUAGCUGCGAUGGAUCUCUAGGUACUGCUUAUUACCAAUGUUGAAAUUUAGGCCGCUACAAAAUGAGUAAUUAUAUGUAUCGAAAUGGACAACAUAUCCUGGCAUGCUAGUGUGGGAGCACUGCUUGUCGUUUAAUGCAUUUUAAUGAAGAAAUGUGGAUGUACAGUUUUGGAACAAUAUGCCAAAGAACUGUACUGAAACCUAAGAUAUAUUCUGACCAAGAAAAUGCUUUCUCUAGGCGUAUGCCUCAUAUCGGUUUGAUAGUGAAGUAUUCCCUAAAUACGGCUCAGCAACACGUCAGCAACUACCGUUUUUAAAGUACGCAUUGCCACUGUAACCUGCAAAACCUACAACUUCAUACAAACUCUAAACUAGCACUAUUCCCCGCAAAGUCUGCGCAUGCUUGCAGGUUUUCACAGCUAACUAAAACAAAACAAAAGUCGUUCGCAUGCCUACUAUACAAUACAAUGACAUUGUCCUAAGGACGAAAGCUACAUGAAAUAGGUCGAAUAUUAUAACAUGUCUGGAAAAUGCACAUCGAACAGCUGUUAAAGAAAGUGUAGUUGAGGCGACUUUGCAAAGGGUAUGAAGUAUCACCAUACCAACAAAGACAUUUCAGUCGAUUGUUUUGCUUCGGGUUGGAAAAUUUCAGGAAGAAUAAAGUCGUCGGCUUGCUACGCAUUUCCAAGCUUAGACUAUCUACGGCGCAUUGAAAGAUCACGCAACCUACACAACAAUGGAAAUUUGAAAAUAAGCGCACUUUCAGAGGUCGCUAUUGCACGAAUAUCACAAUUUGCAGCAAAACAUUGAAGCACCGCGCUUGAAACACAAUCUUGCAUCGGUACUUGCUGCCUGUCCCUCUAGGUUUCAUUUGAUUGUUCUGUACCUGAGAAGCGCAACCCGCGUGGCGUAUGAGUGCGCCUUUACAGGUUACCUUGAAUGUCUUUACACAAGAUAGCCUAUACUCUGGCAAACCUACAGUUUUACACAUCAGUAAUUUCAGUUCAUGUAUUGUACAGGGCGAGUAUUUACAUGCCCUGAAGGAAGAUAAUACCAAUCUUGCAGCACCAACGUUAAUAUCAAUCUUGCAGCGACACUUCGAGCCCACGUUCUCUUGUAUCGACUGCUGCAAAGAAAUAUCAUAAAAAUGGUCGCUACAACUGAAGAGCUGUUGUCGUGAAAAUUUGAAGCUGCCUUCUGAAUAUGGAAUAUAAAGGUAAUAAAGCUCGAGAGGCUCAUCCCUAAAUUCAAAUCCACAAACAUGAGCAUUUCGCCUCAAUUACUUCGUUUUUUGGGACCAGAACAUCAUCAAGUGCAUAUUAUGUUUGUUUGACUUCCAUGGUUCAUUAGUCGCAUUUAGGCAUUUAAAUUAGAAGUAUAAUGUUGUUGUUGGGAAAUUCUUUCUUCUUCAGGAACGGAAGCUUCUUCAUACCAAAAUAUAAUCAAGUUCGUGGCGUAUUAACUAGACCGCUUCGGCAUAUAGGGUUGCUGGAACGUGGACGGGACCUGGCUUAUCAUCCCCUUGUUUUUUUUUUUUGCGAGUUCGUCACGCCUUUUUAAAAAGCACUAGCAAUAUGUUGGUUCAAAUACUGGAAGUCCUGUCAGAGCACCAGUGAUCUGCCUUUUCGAGACAGAGUUGGCUAUUUCGACGUAAAAUUGUCAACACCUGAUGUCAAUAUAGCUAACUUCUUUUGGUAUCGAUGUGUCCUUUAGUUACAGUUUGAGAUAUCAAGCCAAUUUUAUUACCUGCAUUUAAGGAGGCUUUGGUUUCCGGCUACUUUUCUUCUUUGCUAUGGCGAUUGUGAUCCGAAAGUUCCUAGACGAUAAAGAAUUCACAGGGAUACAAUACAAUAUUUAUACUAUUUUAAACUAUACUCUGUUUUAGAAUAUAAGAUAUGACAGAAAAUUACCGCAGAAGCUUCCUAGUGAGACUUGUCAGAUAAUGGGUGAGCAAUAUUUGUUUUAUCUUGGAGUCAUGGAAAGAACGUUUAGUUGAGUGGCCGAGUAAAGUACCCUUAUUAAGUACCCUUAUUACCCUUAUUAAGUACCCUUGCCCUUAUUAAGUACCAUUGACACAUCACUGUAUCAAUGACGAUGCAAUAUGCUGCAGCUAUUGCCAAUCACCUGCUUCAAGUACCUAAUUAAUGAACAUAAUUAGUUGGAAAUUUACUUGUGGGCUAGAAUAAUGUUAUCGUAAUUAUUAAUAAGAAGGAUUAAGUAAUGUUAAUUACUCUUAAUUACUUUUGAUUAGAAUUAUUCAAUUUAUAGUUCUACGUGUAGGUUUAGCUCACGCGUGUCCUCGGUGAACUAAACAAGGCUCUUGUUUAUAUCUGGGGGAAAAUUAGGAGCCUGGUAUCUUCCUAGUGGCUUGGUAAAAUAGCCGUUGUCACUAGAAUACCUAUGCAAGGUGUCCACAGCGUUAUUAAUCUGCUUUACGAGCAAUGUAACACUUGGACGGCUGUGCUGGAAUAAUUACUACUACAACUUACGUGAAAUUUUGCGAACAUAGGGUGAACAAUGCGCCAAGGUUAUGUGCGAUGAUAAAGGCGUGUUAUCAAAUACAGCUUUAAAGAAUUGUGAGCAAGUAUUCCGAUGUCACUUACCGGGGUGGCGUAGUGGUUUGACGAUGCACCAAUAAACCCGAGGGCGCGGGAUCGGAUCCCGGCUUCGGCAGCCGGAUUUCGAUGUGGGUGAAACGCAAAAACGCCCAUGUGCCGUGCAUCGAGUGCGCGUUUAAGAACCCGAGGUAGUCAAAAUUCAUCCGGAGUCCCCACUAUAGCGUGCCUCAUAAUCAUUUCAUGGUUCUGGCACGUGAAACACCAUAAUUUAUUUUAAGAUAACUAUAUUCGAGGGUAUGACGCUGCGGUUAUUAGCUAUGUGUCUCAAUGACGCAAGAUAACUCUGCGUUUCAGGUAUUUUAUAUCUUGACAAAGUGGAAUGUUUUUAAGUGCAAUGUGUCUUCUUCCUAUGUGCAACCAGUGCUUUUACCGCUUCUGGCUUAUUUAGAAUCGUUGGCUUAUUUGGAAGCCUCGUAGUUACCGCAGACGUUUAUUUAGAGCCAAUCUCUGAUGAACUACCUAUCUUUGCCGCAUUACAAAAAGAAAUUCUUUCCAUUAAUCACAGUUUAAUAUACAACGAGGAUAUCCAUAUCGAAAUAACUAACCUAAUGCAAAGGAAUGAAUAUAUAGUCAUUCCUGUGCAUCUUUAUACGGAACAUAUUUGGUGGAGAUUUGCAGUCCCUGGAGGUUUGCGGGCCCUGUCCUCGCCACCGAGCUCAGCAGCGGACGAUCACUCGACGAACACCAUGGCCUCCCGUUAAACAAGCUCGACCACACCGGCCGCUUUACCUACCACAACGACCUUCGUCAGGCUUUCCGGCCCCAAUGAUCCUGGCGCCUUUUUAGGUGUGGACAGUUCCAACGUCGAUAACUGGGUGCUUCGAUGGCCCUUGUGUCCCCGGGGGUAGUCUUUAUGGAGCUACCUACCCUGCUCGUAUUUGGUGUUGCAUCGUUCCUGUGCUACCGACACGUGCGGAUUCCUCAGCCCGGCCGCUAUCUGCAGCUGAUAGCGUCGACGAUUUCUACCACCGCGUGCCACUACUGUCCCGAUUCCUCGCUAUAAAAGCCGCCGACGUGGAAGACAAUGACUCUUUGGCAGCAGCGGUAGCGAACCUGGCACAUUGGCUUACAUUCCCCUGUUCAACGCAGAACGCUAAAUAAGAACAUGGAGAUCUGUAAGACUAUCGCGGCACUUAAUACAAGACGGAGGAUCGCCCCAAACAAGAGUGCCUCCAACCUGCGGGACAGUGGAGAGGCCUAGUGGCUCGGCGGUUACGGAACAGCGUGGCCAUGGACAAGUUGAGAAUUAUUGAAGGGCACGGAUUAUCUAAAUCUUAUUUUAGCUUCAAAGCAUAGGAGAAGCUAAAAUAUGUCCUUUCGAAGUGUAGAGACCAUUCGUUAUGCUCAAUGUGCGGGCUUUGUGCAGGACUUGUCCUGAAGGCGCCUGUAGCAAGGCGGAUACCUAAGUGGUGGGUAAGAUCUAACAUUUUAGAGCACUAGGAAUAGUAGAAUUAUAUACUAUGGCUCCGCAGUCAAGGCAUUAUCGUAUUAGACUAUCGUAUUAGACAUCUCCUGUAACUUCCCCGGGAUGUGCGGGACAAGAAUUUCAACAGUUUCAUUGUCUUGAGUCACUUCACUUAAGAUACUUUAGAUGCGAGUUAAAGGUUAUUUGAUUGUCUAAGGUAAGGCCUAAGAAUUUACGUUCGGAGCUCACAGGUAGUCGUUCUCCACGAAAGUCUAAAACGGGGUCUAGUAAUACACCUCUCUUGUUGGAAAAAGGACGCACAUACUUUUUUGGGGGUUUAGUUUGAAAGUUCUCAUUCGCCCACUUAGGCAACUUCUGUAAACCAAGCUGUGCCAGUCGCUCGCCGAUACUUAGAUUACAAGAUCUGUAACAUAUCUGGAUGUUAUUCACAUAUAUGUAAUAAAACGUAGUACGUGGU